AGAGUUUGAUCAUGGCUCAGAUUGAACGCUGGCGGCAUUUACACAUGCAAGUCGAACGCGGUCGGGGGGCAACUCCUGACUGAGUGGCGAACGGGUGAGUAAUACAUCGGAACGUACCCCGUUGUGGGGGAUAACCCACCGAAAGGUGGGCUAAUACCGCAUACGCCCCGAGGGGGAAAGCGGGGGACCUGAGAGGGCCUCGCGCGAUGGGAGCGGCCGAUGUCGGAUUAGCUAGUAGGUUGGGUAAAGGCUGACCUAGGCGACGAUCCGUAGCUGGUCUGAGAGGAUGAUCAGCCACACUGGGACUGAGACACGGCCCAGACUCCUACGGGAGGCAGCAGUGGGGAAUUUUGGACAAUGGGGGCAACCCUGAUCCAGCCAUGCCGCGUGAGUGAAGAAGGCCUUCGGGUUGUAAAGCUCUUUCGGCCGGAACGAAAUCGCAUCUCCUAAUACGGGGUGUGGAUGACGGUACCGGAAGAAGAAGCACCGGCUAACUACGUGCCAGCAGCCGCGGUAAUACGUAGGGUGCGAGCGUUAAUCGGAAUUACUGGGCGUAAAGCGUGCGCAGGCGGCUCUUCAAGUCAGAUGUGAAAGCCCCGGGCUUAACCUGGGAACUGCGUUUGAAACUGGAGGGCUAGAGUGUGGCAGAGGGAGGUGGAAUUCCACGUAGCAGUGAAAUGCGUAGAGAUGUGGAGGAACACCGAUGGCGAAGGCAGCCUCCUGGGCCAACACUGACGCUCAGGCACGAAAGCGUGGGGAGCAAACAGGAUUAGAUACCCUAGUAGUCC
rnacentral:rRNA from 1 species